AACCAGCUACUAGAAGGUUCGAUUAGUCUUUCGCCCCCAUGCCCAUGUUUGACGAUCGAUUUGCACGUCAGAACCGCUGCGAGCCUCCACCAGAGUUUCCUCUGGCUUCACCCUACACAGGCAUAGUUCACCUUCUUUCGGGUCCGGCCCCGUAUGCUCUUACUCAAAUCCAUCCGAGAACAUCAGGAUCGGUCGAUGAUGCGCCGAAGCUCUCACCUGCGUUCACUUUCAUUACGCGUAGGGGUUUGACACCCGAACACUCGCAUACGAAGACGACUCCUUGGUCCGUGUUUCAAGACGGGUCGCUGAUGACCAUUACGCCAGCAUUGCGUGAUGCGCGGUCCUCAGCCCGCCCCAGGGCAUUGCGCAGAGGGCUAUAACACUCCCGGAGGAGCCACAUUCCCAGAGCCUUUGUCCCCCGGGACGAGCUGAUGCUGGCCUGGNNGCCCGCCGGAGUGCACCAGCGAGAACGCUGGGUGAUCCNCCGGGCCCAAGUCUGGUCACAAGCGCUUCCCUUUCAACAAUUUCACGUACUGUUUAACCCUCUUUUCAAAGUGCUUUUCAUCUUUCGAUCACUCUACUUGUGCGCUAUCGGUCUCUGGCCAAUAUUUAGCUUUAGAAGACAUAUACCUCCCAUUUAGAGCAGCAUUCCCAAACUACUCGACUCGUCGAAGGAGCUUUACAGAGGCUCGGCAUCCAACCAGACGGGGCUCUCACCCUCAAUGGCGUCCCGUUCCAGGGAACUCGGAAGGCGCCUCGCCAAAANCAUCCUCUGCAAAUUACAACUCGGGGCCCGGGGGNNNCCAGAUUUCAAAUUUGAGCUGUUGCCGCUUCACUCGCCGUUACUGGGGCAAUCCCUGUUGGUUUCUUUUCCUCCGCUUAUUGAUA
rnacentral:rRNA from 1 species